rnacentral:rRNA from 1 species
UGCAAGUCGAACGGUAACAGGANGCAGCUUGCUGCUUUGCUGACGAGUGGCGGACGGGUGAGUAAUGUCUGGGAAACUGCCNGAUGGAGGGGGAUAACUACUGGAAACGGUAGCUAAUACCGCAUAACGUCGCAAGACCAAAGAGGGGGACCUUAGGGCCUCUUGCCAUCGGAUGUGCCCAGAUGGGAUUAUGUANUAGGUGGGGUAACNGCUCNNNUAGGCGACGAUNCCUAGCUGGUCUGA